UGAUGAUGAUGAUGAUGUUAUAAUUAUCCGAUUUAUUUCAUGAAAGGAAUAACUAACCUCCUACUCAUUCUGA
rfam:Nicotiana sylvestris Nsyl_contig63358, whole genome shotgun sequence.